AUACGCAAAAAGGUGCAAGCUAGAUAACAACAGAAUAGACCGCACUCGAAAUGUUAGCUAAACACGUAAGAAGGUGCACAAAGUGAACAAGAGAGCGGGAGGUACCAACUUCCGGUAGGAAAACCUGAAAGUAUGCUUUGAUGUGCCCAAGUUCUCCUGAAGCUUAUCAGAACGUGUGGUUCUAUUGCGUCCUGCCGCGAGUCUGAACGGGAGUCACCGAGGAUACUGUGGCUUGCCGGGAAUCCUCGCCGGUAGAAUAGGCACCUGUCCAAGAAAACAAAAACACACCCACACACACCCACAAAAGCAGAGAAGAUAAUAGAAAGAAAAGCGCAGGAGUUGCCGGAAAAAUUUCCGGCGAAAAGCAAUAGUUCAAAACCUCUGAACCGAAGUAGGGUCAAACUUGAAUAGGCAAACAGUAGUGGUAGAUCUCUUCUGCAAGUCUGCUGUGGUUAAGCAGUGAAGCAGUGAAGCAGUGAAGAGAAGUGCUGACUAAGUGGACAGUAGGGAAUGAAAGUGACCAGAGAAAUAUUCCGGGAGUACCAAGUUGGUCGGAAUAGUGAGGGAAAAAGACUGUAUAAACACCCUAAGUUCAAAACCUCUGAACCGAAGUAGGGUCAGACUUGAAUAGGCAAACAGUAGUGGUAGAUCUCUUCUGCAAGUCUGCUGUGGUAAGCAGUGAUAAGCAGUGAAGCAGUGAAGAGAAGUGGUGACUAAGUGGACAGUAGGGAAUGAAAGUGACCAGAGAAAUAUUCCGGGAGUAUCAAGUUGGUCGGAACAGUGAGGGAAAAGGACUGUAUAAAAGGAGCCGGAGGAAAAAGUGACCGGAAGUGGUCACACGCGCGCAGCGCAUGGCUGACAGAGGCGGCGCGUUGGUGUGCAGAGGAGGCGCGUGAGGAAGAUUCCUGCGGCGGAAUUUGCCGAGGAUGUGCGCCUGACGUUGUGUGCCUCGAUGGUGUGGGAGGUGGCAAAGACACACCACCGUGAGAUACCACCGAGAGGGACCACUGCGAGGUUGUUACCGGAGUAGAGAUGUUGUCGGAGCAGUGUUCCGACAGCACGAUAUGAGCAGAGAAAGAGAAAGAGAAGGAGAGAGAGAAACUUACAUGUUGGAACCGGCGUUAGUGAUAGCCUCAGACAAGGGAGCGGUGAGAGAAGGCGAAGAGAGCGAGGAGAGAAAAGAGAGAGAAAGAGCC
rnacentral:lncRNA from 1 species